rnacentral:rRNA from 1 species
GAUGAACGCUGGCGGCGUGCCUAAUACAUGCAAGUCGAGCGAACGGACGAGAAGCUUGCUUCUCUGAUGUUAGCGGCGGACGGGUGAGUAACACGUGGAUAACCUACCUAUAAGACUGGGAUAACUUCGGGAAACCGGAGCUAAUACCGGAUAAUAUUUUGAACCGCAUGGUUCAAAAGUGAAAGACGGUCUUGAUGUCACUUAUAGAUGGAUCCGCGCUGCAUUAGCUAGUUGGUAAGGUAACGGCUUACCAAGGCAACGAUGCAUAGCCGACCUGAGAGGGUGAUCGGCCACACUGGAACUGAGACACGGUCCAGACUCCUACGGGAGGCAGCAGUAGGGAAUCUUCCGCAAUGGGCGAAAGCCUGACGGAGCAACGCCGCGUGAGUGAUGAAGGUCUUCGAAUCGUAAAACUCUGUUAUUAGGGAAGAACAUAUGUGUAAGUAACUGUGCACAUCUUGACGGUACCUAAUCAGAAAGCCACGGCUAACUACGUG